rnacentral:lncRNA from 1 species
CUCAAUUCUAUGUCAGAUUGGCCAGUGUCAAAAAUGAAAUUAAGUGAGGAACAAUUUAAAAGUUCAUUGUCCAAAGAAAGACCGCUUUGUUAACUGGGAGACCUCAAACUGAACAUGAUGCGAGGAAUUUUAACCAAAUUAAAGAGGCUUUGUUAACCAUAAUUUGGAAUUGUCAUAUAGAUUUAAUCAAGUCAGAUUCAGAAUUCCUUUCAUCAUGGAAACAUCGAUUUACACUAAACAAUAUAGGAAUGAAAAUAUUGUACAUUACUGAUACAGUUAAAAGAGAUGUCUGCAGACUAGCUGUGAAAAGGAUACAAAGCAAAACAGAAAAUGGAAAAGUUGCAUGGGAUGAAAUCCAAUGGAAACUAGUUGCAAGUGAAGUCAAAU